rnacentral:rRNA from 1 species
UGAGGAAUAUUGGUCAAUGGACGCAAGUCUGAACCAGCCAAGUAGCGUGCAGGAUGACGGCCCUAUGGGUUGUAAACUGCUUUUAUUUGGGGUUAAAGUGGGGAACGUGUCCCCUUUUGCAGGUACCAUAUGAAUAAGGACCGGCUAAUUCCGUGCCAGCAGCCGCGGUAAUACGGAAGGUUCGGGCGUUAUCCGGAUUUAUUGGGUUUAAAGGGAGCGUAGGCCGUUUGGUAAGCGUGUUGUGAAAUGUAGGAGCUCAACUUCUAGAUUGCAGCGCGAACUGUCAGACUUGAGUGCGCACAACGUAGGCGGAAUUCAUGGUGUAGCGGUGAAAUGCUUAGAUAUCAUGAAGAACUCCGAUUGCGAAGGCAGCUUACGGGAGCGCAACUGACGCUGAAGCUCGAAGGUGCGGGUAUCGAACAGG